rnacentral:sRNA from 1 species
GUAAGGAGUUGGUGGCCCACUCCAGUGAAUUUCUUGAUGGCCAACUGGGCCUGCGCAAACGCCUGUCCGUGCGUAUGCACUUGGCCAUGUGCGUGAAUUGCCGGCGCUUUAUCAAGCAAAUGCGCUUGAGUCAGGCAGUGCUGCGCCGGCUACCGCGAGGGCAGAGCGCAGAGCUUGAUGAGUUGGCGAGCAAGCUUGCCGAAUUGCGUCGGCAGCAGCGCUGAAUCUGCUGCUGCCUUAAUACCU